ensembl:lncRNA
GCGAGAGCCAGGCCCAGUCACAGCCAGCUAACGGAGUCACAGUGCCUAGAACAGUAAGAUUCACUCAGAGGCUGCAUGGGAGCAGAAUGACCAGAGAGCAGCCUAGGCAAAGUGAAGUCUUGGGGUAGAGGCCAGAGUACGAAGAGCCGAGGGCUGAUUUGAGAGUUGGCAGGGGCAGGAGCAGGGGAACAGAGUGAAGAAGGAAGCCCAAAAGAACCAUUAGGAUGCACUUCAGUCCAGUGAGAAGGGCCUUUCUGGGCUCAGAAUGAGCAGGUCUGGCCCAGACCCAGACCCUCUCGGAGUCAACCUGGUUGGUUGCCCUGUCUGCUUGGCUCUUGCAGCCUCUCCACCUUCAGGUAACUACCCUUCAACUCUACUCCUGUGAAGCUGGCUUCUGAGCUCCCAGGUGUAAGUGAGAACUCGAGCAUCAUCUCUUGCCAAAUCCCAUAGGAGUCGUCAUCGGACUGUACAGAAUCUACAUAUGAAGUCUGG